rfam:Schistosoma mansoni, Puerto Rico, WGS project CABG01000000 data, contig: 0126
GUCAGGAUGACCAAGCGGUCCAAGGCGCUGAGUUCAAGUCGCAGUUCACUCUGUGGUCGUGGGUUCGAGUCCCAAUCUUGAUA